AGCGAACGCUGGCGGCAGGCCUAACACAUGCAAGUCGAACGAACCUUUCGGGGUUAGUGGCGGACGGGUGAGUAACACGUGGGAACGUGCCUUUAGGUUCGGAAUAACUCAGGGAAACUUGUGCUAAUACCGAAUGUGCCCUUCGGGGGAAAGAUUUAUCGCCUUUAGAGCGGCCCGCGUCUGAUUAGCUAGUUGGUUGAGGAAAUGGCUCACCAAGGCGACGAUCAGUAGCUGGUCUGAGAGGAUGAUCAGCCACAUUGGGACUGAGACACGGCCCAAACUCCUACGGGAGGCAGCAGUGGGGAAUCUUGCGCAAUGGGCGAAAGCCUGACGCAGCCAUGCCGCGUGAAUGAUGAAGGUCUUAGGAUUGUAAAAUUCUUUCACCGGGGACGAUAAUGACGGUACCCGGAGAAGAAGCCCCGGCUAACUUCGUG
rnacentral:rRNA from 1 species